rnacentral:rRNA from 1 species
GACUCUUGACAAUGGAUAUCUCAGCUCUCACAUCGAUGAAGAACGUAGCAAAAUGCAAUACUUGGUGUGAUAUGCAAAAUCCCGUGAGCCAUCAAGUCUUUGAAUCCAAGUUGUUCCUGAAGCCAUUAGGCCGAUGGCACAUCAGCCUAGGUGUCA